CAUAGGUUUGGUCCUGGCCUUAUAAUUAGUUAGAGGUAAAAUUACACAUGCAAAUAUCCAUAGCCCAGUGUCAAAUCCCGCAGAAUUUAUUUGAAUUCUAAGGAGAGGGCAUCAAGUACAUUAUAUAAUAGCUAAAGACGCCUUGCCUAGCCACGCCCCCACGGGACCCAGCAGUGAUUAAGAUUAAGCAAUGAACGAAAGUUUGACUAAGUUAUACCUCUUCAGGGUUGGUAAAUUUCGUGCCAGCCACCGCGGUCAUACGAUUAACCCAAAUUAAUUAUAAACGGCGUAAAACGUGCUAAUAAUGAUUUAACAAAAUAGAAUUAAAAAUCAACCAAUAUGUGAAAAUUCAUUGUUGAAAUUAAAAUCAAUGACGAAAGUAAUUCUAAUAGAACUAAAGCACGAUAGCUAAGACCCAAACUGGGAUUAGAUACCCCACUAUGCUUAGCCCUAAACUUCAAUAAUUAAAUAACAAAAUUAUUUGCCAGAGGACUACUAGCUACAGCUUAAAACUCAAAGGACUUGGCGGUACUCUAUAUCCAUCUAGAGGAGCCUGUUCUAUAAUCGAUAAACCCCGUUACACCUUACCAUUUCUUGCUAAUUCAGCCUAUAUACCGCCAUCUUCAGCAAACCUCAAAAGAGGAUUAAAGUAAGCACAAGAACAAUCAUAAAAACGUUAGGUCAAGGUGUAGCCUAUGGAAUGGGAAGCAAUGGGCUACAUUUUCUCGAAGAGAACAUAUACGACAUUCUUUAUGAAACUAAAGAAUAAAAGGAGGAUUUAGUAGUAAAUUAAGAAUAGAGAGCUUAAUUGAAUAGAGCAAUGGAGUACGCACACACCGCCCGUCACCCUCUUCAAACUAAAUAAAUAAAUUAGUUUACAUAAAAAUAAUUAUUACAUUUAUUAGAGGAGGUAAGUCGUAACAUGGUAAGCAUACUGGAAAGUGUGCUUGGAAUAA
rnacentral:ncRNA from 1 species